GCGAGUGAAGCGGCAAAAGCUCAAAUUUGAAAUCUGGUGGGCCGCCCCACCCGAGUUGUAGUUUGAAGAUACCGCGCUGGACGCAGGCCUUGUCUAUGUUCCUUGGAACAGGACGUCUUAGAGGGUGAGAAUCCCGUGAGAUGGGGCGCUGUUGUCUGUGUAGUGGGGUAUCGACGAGUCGAGUUGUUUGGGAAUGCAGCUCUAAGUGGGUGGUAAAUUCCAUCUAAAGCUAAAUACAGGCGAGAGACCGAUAGCGAACAAGUACAGUGAUGGAAAGAUGAAAAGAACUUUGAAAAGAGAGUGAAAAAGUACGUGAAAUUGUUGAAAGGGAAGGAUAUUCGAUCAGACGUGGGGGCUGUGCAUGCUGAUCCCUUGUGGAGAGGUUGCCGGACAGCCGCCAGGCCAGCAUCGAUUCAGCUGGUGGGAGAAGUGCGUAGGAACGUGGCUGUUUACAGUGUUAUAGCCUAGGCCCACACCACCCGCUGGAUCGAGGAAUGCGUUCACACAAGGAUGCUGGCGUAAUGAUGGAAUAUCGCCC
rnacentral:rRNA from 1 species